CAAUAGCGUAUAUUAAAGUUGUUGCAGUUAAAAAGCUCGUAGUUGGAUUUCUGGAGGGAGCGUCGGCCCGUAUUUACGAGUGCGUGACGUCUCUGUCCAUCCUUGCGGGAAGGCACGGCAUUGAUUUGUUGUGUCGGAUCGCAUCAUUUACUGUGAAAAAAUUAGAGUGUUCAAAGCAGGCUUUCGCUUGAAUACAUUAGCAUGGAAUAAUAAGAUAGGACUUUGGUGCUAUUUUGUUGGUUGAGCCUAAAGUAAUGAUUAAUAGGGAUAGUUGGGGGCACCUGUAUUGCGUUGUCAGAGGUGAAAUUCUUGGAUUUACGCAAGACAAACAGCUGCGAANGNGUCUGCNAAGGAUGUUUNCAUUA
rnacentral:rRNA from 1 species